UUGCAAUGUGUACAGUCCCACAGGGCAGACCAUGUUGUGAACCUCAGGGCUCCCCGAGGACUCUAACACACAGUAGUUCUGCUCAGGAGACGUUUGUCAAAGGACCAUGAGUUUGUCUGUAAUCCUCUUUCUCCAACUGUGGGGGAUUGUGGAAGUCUCCUCAUCACAGAAUGGUUCACCAUCGAGCUCUAACCCCCGCCUGCAGAUGGAGGGGUUACAGUAAUAGGUUUACCAGAAAAUGACAAUCCCAUUCUUCCUGACCGCCCCCCUCGCAUUCAUCUGUGAAGGACCUGGGAAAUAUCUGAAUGGCAGUUCAGUGCUGAGAUGUGGUCAAGAUGGACAGUGGGAUCAUCCAUUCCCCACUUGUGAAGAAAACUGCAAAGUCCCAGGUCUAUCAGACGGCUUACAACUCCCCACACAUGAACCAGGCGAUCAACU